UACAGAGGGCCCGAGCGUUGUUCGGAUUCACUGGGCGUAAAGGGUGCGUAGGUGGCGUGGUAAGUUUGAUGUGAAAGCUCAGGGCUUAACCCUGAAAUGGCAUUGAAUACUACUGUGCUGGAGGUUUGGAGGGGGGACUGGAAUUCUUGGUGUAGCAGUGAAAUGCGUAGAUAUCAAGAGGAACACCAGUGGCGAAGGCGAGUCCCUGGACAACACCUGACACUGAGGCACGAAAGCCGGGGGAGCAAACAGG
rnacentral:rRNA from 1 species